rnacentral:rRNA from 1 species
GACGAACGCUGGCGGCGUGCUUAACACAUGCAAGUCGAACGGAAAGGCCUCUUUCGGGGGGUACUCGAGUGGCGAACGGGUGAGUAACACGUGAGUAACCUGCCCUUGACUUUGGGACAACUUCAGGAAACUGGGGCUAAUACCGGAUAGGAGCUCCUGCUGCAUGGUGGGGGUUGGAAAGUUUCGGCGGUUGGGGAUGGACUCGCGGCUUAUCAGCUUGUUGGUGGGGUAGUGGCUUACCAAGGCUUUGACGGGUAGCCGGCCUGAGAGGGUGACCGGCCACAUUGGGACUGAGAUACGGCCCAGACUCCUACGGGAGGCAGCAGUGGGGAAUAUUGCACAAUGGGUGGAAGCCUGAUGCAGCAACGCCGUGUGCGGGAUGACGGCCUUCGGGUUGUAAACCGCUUUCGCUCAUGACGAAGCUUUGUGUGACGGUAGUGGGUAAAGAAGCACCGGCUAACUACGUG